rnacentral:rRNA from 1 species
AUUGAACGCUGGCGGCAUGCUUUACACAUGCAAGUCGAACGGUAACAGGCCGCAAGGUGCUGACGAGUGGCGAACGGGUGAGUAAUGCAUCGGAACGUGCCCAGUCGUGGGGGAUAACGCAGCGAAAGCUGCGCUAAUACCGCGUACGAUCUGGGGAUGAAAGCGGGGGACCGUAAGGCCUCGCGCGAUUGGAGAGGCCGAUGUCAGAUUAGGUAGUUGGUGGGGUAAAGGCUCACCAAGCCGACGAUCUGUAGCUGGUCUGAGAGGACGACCAGCCACACUGGGACUGAGACACGGCCCAGACUCCUACGGGAGGCAGCAGUGGGGAAUUUUGGACAAUGGGCGCAAGCCUGAUCCAGCAAUGCCGCGUGCAGGAAGAAGGCCUUCGGGUUGUAAACUGCUUUUGUACGGAACGAAACGGCUCUGGUUAAUACCUGGGGCUAAUGACGGUACCGUAAGAAUAAGCACCGGCUAACUACGUGCCAGCAGCCGCUGUAAGAC